rnacentral:rRNA from 1 species
CAGUCGCCACGGGAAUACGGAGGAUCCAAGCGUUAUCCGGAUUUAUUGGGUUUAAAGGGUGCGUAGGUGGCUUGUUAAGUCAGGGGUGAAAGACGGUAGCUUAACUAUCGCAGUGCCUUUGAUACUGACGAGCUUGAAUGAACUAGAGGUAGGCGGAAUGUGACAAGUAGCGGUGAAAUGCAUAGAUAUGUCACAGAACACCAAUUGCGAAGGCAGCUUACUAUGGUUUUAUUGACACUGAGGCACGAAAGCGUGGGGAUCAAACAGGAUUAGAGACCCGAGUAGUCCCUGUCUCUUAUAC